rnacentral:rRNA from 1 species
GACGAACGCUGGCGGCGUGCUUAACACAUGCAAGUCGAACGGAAGGGCCCUGCUUUUGUGGGGUGCUCGAGUGGCGAACGGGUGAGUAACACGUGAGUAACCUGCCCUUGACUUUGGGAUAACUUCAGGAAACUGGGGCUAAUACCGGAUAGGAGCUCCUGCUGCAUGGUGGGGGUUGGAAAGUUUCGGCGGUUGGGGAUGGACUCGCGGCUUAUCAGCUUGUUGGUGGGGUAGUGGCUUACCCAGGCUUUGACGGGUAGCCGGCCUGAGAGGGUGACCGGCGACAUUGGGACUGAGGUACGGCCCAGACUCCUACGGGGGGCAGAAGUGGGGAGUAUUGCACAAUGGGCGGAAGCCUAAUGCAGCAACGCCGCGUGCGGGAUGACGGCCUUCGGGUUGUAAACCGCUUUCGCCUGUGACGAAGCGUGAGUGACGGUAAUGGGUAAAGAAGCACCGGCUAACUACGUG